rnacentral:lncRNA from 1 species
AACAGAUUUCAGCGGUGCCUUGGUGACAAGAAAAGAAAAAACCCUCCAAGGAUUCUGGAGGAAGUUGAAAGGCAGGAGGUCAGGCUUCCACCUGCAGGUAGAAUGAGUGUUUGCCAUUUCCUCAAAUUCCUUGAGACCACCCACUGGCAUGAAGGAUGGACUUUUCUUUCCCUUGCAAAAGGGAAUGCACUCUCUGAAGAAGCAUAUGCCAGCACUGGUGAGAUACAGUUCUUCAACAAGUAAGGAUCUGUCUACAUUCGGGGCACGUCUUGGGGAAGCCUUGAAGGGAAUCGUGCCUGGAGUCCCAUCUGACUUAACUCAUCAUCACAGUCCUUCAUCACAACAUAAUGAGUGUUAUUACUUCCUCAUGUGGCCUGUGGGCUUUGUUAAUUAAAGAAUGGAAAGUUCAAAGAUGGAAAUCGUCAGAGGCUUCCAAGAUGGCUGAAUAGGAACAGCUCCAGUCCGCAGCUCCCAGCAAGAUUGAUGCAGAAGGCGGAUGAUUUCUGCAUUUCCAACUAAGUGCCAUGACUUAAGGAGUGAAGAGAGGGCAUAGAGAACAAGCAGAGUAUGCAGGGCAUAUGCUGAGAUAAGAAACUGGAUCUGAAACAAGUUGAAUACUUGCAGAACAUAGAAGUUACUUGUGUAUAAAGACUUUCUUCCAUUCCAAUGACUUAUCGCUCACAAGUCCAAGAAAAUAAUCUGGAGGCAGGGAAACUAAGUGUCUAAGGCCAAGCCUCAGCUGAGAAGAGUGCAGUGAACUGAUCAUUAAUUACCUCCAUAUCUUCAAAGAAUGUUGAAACUGUGCAGCCAAGCACAGUCAUUGCCCUCAACGAGUUCAUACCUGAGCUGGAAGAAGGAUGCACAUCUACCGUUUGUUGCCAAACUACUAUUCAUCUUUCCGUUAGAGAACCAAUGUUCUCCCACCCAUGACACCCUGGUG